AAUCAAAUAAGUUCACACAUUCACAUAUAAAGAUAAAUAAAAAAAAUAAUAUUAACACUGGAUUGAACAAAUUAAGAGAUUGGUAGGAAAGAACUUUUAGCGUCUACUAAAUAUGUUCACAUUAUUAUUGUUAAGCAUAUAAGGAUUACUAUCAGAAAGAUUGCACAGAUAAGAUGAUGUCAAAAUAGAUAAAACAAUGGUCAAGCCAUUCAUAAUUACCAUCAGAAGUAACUCAAUUGAAGAUAGAGUCAAGAAAGUAGCUAAAGCAAGCUAUGAAAACAUAUAGGGAAAAGAACAAACAAUGGAAGAACCAAGAUGUCUGCUUGAAGGACAUCAACAAGACCAUUAAACAAAGAUGGUACUUGUUCAACACCAGCAUGAAAAGAUUAACCUCACUAGUUAGUAGAACUAGUUAACCACCAAGAGAAACAAAAUUAGAUCAGAAAUAGGGAGAAAAAACUACAUAAAUAAGCCA
rnacentral:misc_RNA from 1 species